rnacentral:rRNA from 1 species
UACGAAGGGGGGCUAGCGUUGCUCGGAAUCACUGGGCGUAAAGGGUGCGUAGGCGGGUCUUUUAAGUCAGGGGUGAAAUCCCAGGGCUCAACCCCUGGAACUGCAUUUGAAACUCUCUAUCUAGAGGAUAGGCGGAGAAAACGGAAUUCCACAAGUAGCGGUGAAAUGCGUAGAUAUGUGGAAGAACACCGGUGGCGAAGGCGGGUUUUUCUAGCUUAUUUCCUGACGCUGAGGCGCGAAAGCUAGGGGAGCAAACAGG